rnacentral:rRNA from 1 species
CGAACGCUGGCGGCGUGCCUAAUACAUGCAAGUAGAACGCACAGGAUGCACCGUAGUUUACUACACCGUAUUCUGUGAGUUGCGAACGGGUGAGUAACGCGUAGGUAACCUGCCUGGUAGUGGGGGAUAACUAUUGGAAACGAUAGCUAAUACCGCAUAAGAACAUUUACUGCAUGGUAGAUGUUUAAAAGGUGCAAAAGCAUCACUACCAGAUGGACCUGCGUUGUAUUAGCUAGUUGGUGAGGUAACGGCUCACCAAGGCAACGAUACAUAGCCGACCUGAGAGGGUGAUCGGCCACACUGGGACUGAGACACGGCCCAGACUCCUACGGGAGGCAGCAGUAGGGAAUCUUCGGCAAUGGGGGGAACCCUGACCGAGCAACGCCGCGUGAGUGAAGAAGGUUUUCGGAUCGUAAAGCUCUGUUGUUAAGGAAGAACGUGUGUGAGAGUGGAAAGUU